UACGUAGGGUGCAAGCGUUGUCCGGAAUUAUUGGGUGCGUAAAGAGCUCGUAGGCGGUCUGUCGCGUCGGCUGUGAAACCCGGGCUCACCCGGCCUGCAGUCGAUACGGGCAGACUAGAGUGCGGUAGGGAGACUGGAAUUCCUGGUGUAGCGGUGAAAUGCGCAGAUAUCAGGAGGAACGACCUGAGGUGAAGACGGGUUGCUGGGCUGACACUGAUGCUGAGGCGCGAAAGCCAGG
rnacentral:rRNA from 1 species